AGAUGUCAGGGCCAUCUGGCUGUGACCUCUGUCACCCCAUUGAUCACCAGGAUUGAUUUGGCUGACCUGGCUGGCUGGCGGGCAUCCCCUUCCUCCCUCACUGCUCCACGCGUGUGCCUCCGAGAGCUGUGUGCUCAGUUGAAGAGGAUGACCUUCCCCUCUUUGGUCAAGGGUGUAUGAGUAGCUCUGUGCUCCCCUCUAGCUGUGCUAGAACCUCCACAUGAGCGCUCAGGGUCCAUUUGUAGGAGAAUCCUAUGGACAGAGGAGCCUGAAGGGCUGCAGUCCAUGGGGUUGCAAAGAGUCAGACACAACUG
rnacentral:snRNA from 1 species